CUUUAGAGACCUUCUGGACUGGCACCUUCCAACGGUGGGGAGCAAUGCUCGGAGGAAGGACGCAAAGUUGUAACCCCCCCCCUUCUCCCCUUCACUUACCUUUUGCCAGGCGCUCAGGGGGGUAAUGUGGAACAGCAGGUGUUGCUGGGCUUUUCGCGUGGUUCUACAAAACAUCUGAAAAAUAAAGUAUUGUGAAAUUUCCUUAAAAAUAAUAGCUUGUGUCUAGUACAAUAGACACUAAUAUAAGAGUACUCCAAUUUUGUGCAGUCUCUUUUUGGCUGCAUUGUCUUUUUUACACACUACCUAUAAAAGUUGCAAGCCUAAAGAAUCAUUUGUUUCAAGAACAUGGGAUUUAUCCCCGGUAGAUGGGACCAUUUGACAAGCCACCCGGCUAUUUCCCUUUCUCUAGAUCAUUAUAUGCUCUAAAGGAAGACCUUAUCUUUCAACACGAUAUGUUACGGUUAUCAGCAAUCCUUUGCUUCCCAAAGAACUGAGCCAAUGAUACCAGGAGAACAAUGAAACCAAUGGACCUCCCACUCAUUCAUCUAUCUCAAAGAGUAUCAACAUUCAUACUUGGAUGGAUUAGUGAUGACUAUCACCAGAUAAUGGAUUAAUACUGUAUUAGAUCUGUCCAGGGUGUUGAAAUGUGGCUCAGUUUUUGUGUGUCUUGGGCAUGUUACUCAAACCAUAUUUGUUUCAUAUUCCUGUCUCUUUGAGGAGUCUACAAAGGGAAUUUAAAAGAAUCUACACAGACAUCACCAAACAAAAAUGCUCAUAGUCUUCGAAACAAAUUGUUCACAAAGACUUUUUUAGUCAGUUGAUGAUAAAGGCCGUCAUAAACUAAUGGAAGAUUUUGGUCCACUUUCCUAUAUACUCUGCUUUUCUCCCCAGUGUGAACCCAAAGAAAUUUACAGCAUAGGUCUUCUUUUCUCCAUUUGUUUCUUACCACAACUAUGAGGUAGGCAAGGAGAGACAUUGACUGGCUCAAGGUCACCCAGUGAGUUCCAGUGGUAAAGUGGGGAUUUGAAGGUUGAUCUAGCCACCACAGAUGCUGUAUAGUGCCGGAGAACAACUUUACCAUUUUACAGUCUCUUACUUUGGCUGAAUUGCCCAUUUUUCAUUCCAACGUUGCUAGCGUAUAGAUGCUAUCAGCCAUUGGGCGGGAGGGAGUUUACACACAUUACUGUUUAGUGUUGAGAUAAUCUAAAUUCCCAUAUGAAAGUAUACUGUUUGUAACCUUAGUACCUUUUUACUUAGUACUUUGUACUUACCCUAUACAACAGGACCCAUCACCAGCAAUUCCAGUUUAAAUUGAAGAAAUGGAAUGGGAAUGAGAAAUAAUUAGAUUUUUUAUCGCUUUAAUUUCUCAUACAGAACAAAAAUAAUCAAAAUGUAAUAUUUCAAAUGUAGAACCCAUUACCGUUUGUGAACACACCCUGAACUUUAAUUGGGUCUAACUAGAAUAUCUGCACUGAGCAAUAACUUUCCAUGAAUAGGAUCCAUGUCCCUUACAAUGAAUCUGCCAUAUUAAAAAUAAUUUCUAAAUUCAAAAAAUAGGUAAACAUCUUAGUUCCAUGUUGUUGUUAGGUUAUUUAUAGUCCACCUUUUUUCACUGAGACUCAAGACAGAUUAUGUGGUGUCAGUCACAUAAAAUCAACAGCGUGGAACUUCAAGUAAGCAAUACGAUUAGGUUUGGACUACAAAAAAGGCAAAUGAACAGAAAUCUCUAUCACAGCUGAACAAAGCAUGAUCUUUAAACAUGAUGUGUUAAGUGAUGUACAAACUACCUAGUUUGGAGUAUACUUGCAGUGUAGGUAGCAACACAGUAGUGUAUUGAUAAAAGUUGUAAGGCAAUUACUAUCUGGCAACAAUGUCUGAGGUCUCAAGUCAAAUGUCAUUGAAAAGAGAAAAAGAAAAAUACACAGGCCAUAAGACACCUUUAAGAUAUCCAUAAAUAACAUAGCUGUACUAAAUCAGUAGUAGCCCAAUUUACUUUCAGGCAGAGUAUAUUUGCUGGAAUAAAAUGGAGAGUGACUUCACUUCGCUAUAGGUGGAUCUGGAGACUAAACUGAUGAGUGUAGGAUUUUGAAGACAAGAGUGACAAUUACUGUUUUUUAUGGUCCAUGAACACAGUUCCUUGAAUUUCUUCUCUGAACAAGAUACCUUACAAUUUAAUUGGAGUGUGAAAUAGUAUAAACAUAUCACUUAGCAAAAGAGCAUAUAUGCUGUAGGCACAAGGUCUCUGGCAACUCCAGUUUAAAGAUUUAGCAGAGUUUAGCAACGUCUGAUACAUUGGAUAGCUGCUGUCAGUCAAAGGAAUAUUACAGGGAUGAUAGAUCAGUUAUCUGAUCUGUAUGAGGAAGUUUCAUAUGUUUACUUCUCACUGUGAUUGAUAUGUAGAGGAGUAUAAUGAAAGUACUAAUAGGAGGAUGUUAUUUUGCAAAACAUAUUGUAACUUAUCUAUCAGAUUGAUGAGCAAGUAAGUCAAUAUUUCUGGCAGUAUGGCUUAGCCAAAAAAUGCAGGUUCCAAAAUACAGAUUCAUAAGAGUCAAUUUUCAGCAUUGAAAGUAAUGGGUCAUGCAACAAAGACUGUGACACUUUCUGUAAGAGGUAGAUACAACUUUAAAAGUUCAUGAACCACUAAACAUUAAUAUGUGCAAUCUGAUUAAGUGCUAAUGUGCUGUGCAUGUGUAAAGCACAACAUUAAAGCCUACCGUAUUUCUGUACCAGUGUUUAUAAUCCAUCCAUCCAUCCAUCCAUCCAUCCAUCCAUCCAUCCAUCCAUCCA